GUGCUCACUUCAGCAGUGCAUAUACUAAAAUUGGAAUGAUACAGAAAAGAUUUGCAUGGCACCUGCACAAGCAUGGCCCUUGCACAAGCAUGGCUCCUGCGCAAACAUGGCACACAAAUUCGUGAAGAGGUCCCCAUUUUU
rnacentral:snRNA from 1 species